AUGAACGCUGGCGGCAGGCCUAACACAUGCAAGUCGAGCGAGCAUUUCGGUGCUAGCGGCGGACGGGUGAGUAACGCGUGGGAACGUGCCCUUUUCUGCGGAAUAGUCCUGGGAAACUGGGGGUAAUACCGCAUACGCCCUUUUGGGGAAAGAUUUAUCGGAGAAGGAUCGGCCCGCGUUGGAUUAGGUAGUUGGUGGGGUAAUGGCCCACCAAGCCGACGAUCCAUAGCUGGUUUGAGAGGAUGAUCAGCCACACUGGGACUGAGACACGGCCCAGACUCCUACGGGAGGCAGCAGUGGGGAAUCUUAGACAAUGGGGGCAACCCUGAUCUAGCCAUGCCGCGUGAGUGAUGAAGGCCUUAGGGUUGUAAAGCUCUUUCAGCUGGGAAGAUAAUGACGGUACCAGCAGAAGAAGCCCCGGCUAACUCCGUG
rnacentral:rRNA from 1 species